CCAGACUCCUACGGGAGGCAGCAGUGGGGAAUAUUGCACAAUGGGGGAAACCCUGAUGCAGCGACGCCGCGUGAGUGAAGAAGUAUUUCGGUAUGUAAAGCUCUAUCAGCAGGAACGAGACAAGACGGUACCUGACUAAGAAGCCCCGGCUAACUACGUGCCAGCAGCCGCGGUAAUACGUAGGGGGCGAGCGUUAUCCGGAUUCACUGGGUGUAAAGGGAGCGUAGACGGCCGUGCAAGCCAGGAGUGAAAGCCCGGGGCCCAACCCCGGGACUGCUCUUGGAACUGUGCAGCUAGAGUGCAGGAGAGGUAAGUGGAAUUCCUAGUGUAGCGGUGAAAUGCGUAGAUAUUAGGAGGAACACCAGUGGCGAAGGCGGCUUACUGGACUGUAACUGACGUUGAGGCUCGAAAGCGUGGGGAGCAAACAGGAUUAGAUACCCUCGUAA
rnacentral:rRNA from 1 species